UGAUUUGGUCAGAUAGAUGUUUGUUAUUGUUAGUGACUGUGACUAAACUUGAAGAAACAGGUGCCCUCGCCCGGGACCUUCUGAACCGUGCUCAGCGAUCAUUUUGGGGUUACAUUUUAAUGAACCACAAGUCUAUACCAGGCACGCACCCUUUGAAAGUGUUGGCGGAUAAAAGAAGUAAAUGAUGGAGAAUUAGAUUUAACCUGCCAAUCAAUCAUCUCUUCCUCGCUUCGGUGGUAGGAGCGUUAACACGUCUGAUAUAAUCCAAAGGGGUAGAGGUAAAAUACAGCGGGCAGACACAGUAGCUACAGGACGAAUGACGACCACAAGGAACUAAGGGGCGACGAUUUACAAAGCUGAUUACGCCCCUGGGAAGAGCUCGGUGACGAACGAUCACGAGUUAACCUAGCUGCUGCUGCUAGGAGGCAAACGGAUUGCGUGCCUUUCCCGUGCAGGACAGGGCGCGGGAAGGGCACGCAAUCCAUUUGUAAGAGUGUCCCGCUCCACAAGCAAUAAAUUUGUGGAGUCGGACAUUCUUAACGUCAACCGGUGGAUUGGAUUUCGCACUUCGGGUGGAAUCACAGAGAAGUGAGAUUCAGCAGACAAUGGACCUUCUAUUUGCUCCUGGUGCCAUCUCUUCGCAGGAACUCCUCCCGUAUAUACCUUUGGAUCGUAGUGUCUUUUUAUUACAAAAGCGGUAUGGCGUCAGGCGGAAAAUGUAGAAACCUACGACCCGAUUAAGCUGCUGACAUCUGGUUGACACAUAACGACUCCAAUCGCAGGACCUAGUCAAAAAUGAAGAAUUUUUUAAUCACAACCAAGAGUAUCCCGAUCUCGCAGCGCCAUAUUCGAAGUAUCUGGAAACAUGUUCAAUGGAUAACGCCCACAUGGUAUAUGACAUUAAAUUUGGUGAGAAACUUAUGUGAAGGAUUGUCAGGUCUCUGACCGUGUGGAAAUACCUCGUGAUGCCCCCUAUGUAAUCUAUCGACGCGUGCGGCGAGCGAACCUAUCCACAAGGUCGACAGAUUCGUUCUGGCGCCAUUGGACGUCGAAACCGAAUGGAGCGGCCUAUUUUAAGGGAACCGGCACGUGGUAAAAAUAAUAGGCGAGAGCAUUUUGCUAGUUUAUUUAGGACCUUUCCGCGCCAUAAUAAAUCGGUAUAGUUUAUAAUGUGUUGCAGUGCACCGUCUGUGGCCAAUAGUUACUAUUAUUUAGGUUAAGACUUUUCAAAUUCUCACGUCAAUGAACACUGGUCCCAAGUGAAAUAGGAAUAAGCUAGCGUGCCUUGUGCGAUAAAACAAGCUAACUGUGAAACAAAGCGAAACAAUAAAGAAACG